UAACCCAUCUCGUUAGAGGGAGGCGGCGGCGCAGGAGCGAGGACCUGCAGGCGAAGACGCCGGCUCGAGGUCUAGGAGGCGAAGCCGCGGCUGGUCUUGGUCGUAGUGGCCGCUCCCCCACAUACGUCCCUGCCGACGCCGCGUGAGGUUCUGGAGGGGCCGCCGCCGCCGCGAGGAUUUUCAUGUAGGACAAGCGAGCUGUUCAUAGUCCGUGGUUGUCAUCAGAGUUUGUGUAUUCCCUACGGCAGCAAAAACAACGUCGAUUAAGGCAGUGAGCAUCAGGUUUAUUGUCUGUCUUGGGUGUCCAUUGUAGCAGUAGUGCGUGUACUGGACAACCUUCUGCCACCGUUGUUUACCCCCGACUCACCAGCCAGCCGCCAUCGUCUACCUCCUAUCUACCUCGUGCCUCACCGGACAGCGCAGUUGUCAAACUCUGUCUCACCGGGCGGGCCACCAUUGUCUACCUCUGCUUCGUAGUUAAUUGUGUGCUAGCAAUUCCUCCGGAAAACUUGUUAGGUUAUUCUAACUCUGCCAUGUAUCCCUGAUCUUGUUUUCUGAAUAUGUAAUUUUUUAGUGAUUUACAUUUUCAUU